CACUGGAGAUGACCUAGAAAAUGAUAGACAAGGCCUCAUUUCGAGGGGCAGGCAAGGCAGACCUAUGGGAGGAAGUGACAAUACAUUGAAACCCGAAGAAUGAGGAGGCACCACGUGAAAAGCUGGGGAAAAAGUCCUGUUCACUGAAUGACCAAACACAUAGGGUUGGAGAAGGGAGACAGCUUGGCUCCCUUCCCAAAAGUCUGCAUGGCUGGAGUGUGGUGGAACUGAGUGGGAGGGAGGAGGAGCCGAGGACCCAGCAAGAGCCAGAUCAUGCUGGUCUCUGCAGGUCAUGGUAAGGAAGUUGGAAGGACUUGCUUGGAAGAGCAGUGGGGAGCAAUGAAAAGCUCUGCACCAGUGGCCACUGUCAGCACUCAUGGAUGAGGUGGUGGUCAAGGUAGCUGCACUCUGGCCUGACACAAAGCUAGGCAUCAGCAACAUCUGCCUGGGAGGAUACAGGAGUGACUGACUCAGGUGUCAUCCUGUCCUCUCUCUCUGGCCACAUUUUGAUUAAUACUUCCAUCUUUUAUAGAAGGACUCUCCAAGGCCUUGUAGACCUCAUUAUAUACAACAAAUCGGGUUCAAAAUAUAAACCUUUGUUUGAAAUAACUCCAAUGAGAACUUUUUACAACGCAAUACUAGGAAAAAGUAGCCUACCUUCUGAAGAACAAUAUGUGUUUUUUCCUUCUCUCUGACAGACAGAUUUAUGGGACUGACUCUGGUUUUCCAACCCUUUUGGUUGUCAGAUUUUACUCAGGGUGAAAUCUAUGGUGCUCAAAUAGAUGGAGGUAGCCUCAUGACCUGAAACAUUCUAUUGCCCAUUAUUGGUCUUGACUUCUACUUGAAAAAAAUAUAAUUUUCCUUGUCCUGACUUUUUUAGAUCCUUUCGAGAUCAAAGCAGGCAUGAAUAAAAAAAUUACUCACUUUCCAAAAUGGCCCUGCUGUGGUCCAGGCCAGUGGCUCUCUCAUUCUCUAGCUUUCCAGUGUCUCCUCUGAGGCCCAGGGGGACUCUACCUCCUGUAAGAGCUCUUCCCCACUCGGACUCUUCUCCAGAUCUCUGCAGCUUUUCUGGUGAAAGUGAAACUUCUUUCAGCAUCUUAAAGAGAAGUAAAAUCUAGAACUGCAGCAUCUCGGAGCUGAAAGAGUUAUCAGAAACAUCUAGUCCAGUGGAGUUCCAACUUCCUUUUAGUAGCAGAAACUUCAACCUAAAUCUUACCAGAACACCCACUUUGCAAAAUGGAUCCAAACAGAGUCUCUUUGAUAGGUGGAAAACCACGAUGUAGGCCAGGCCUCUUACUUUUGAAGUGAGGAAACUGA
rnacentral:lncRNA from 12 species